GCCGCGAUGGCGGAAUUGGUAGACGCGCUAGGUUCAGGGUCUAGUAGGCGUACGCCUGUGAGGGUUCGAGUCCCUCUCGCGGCA
rnacentral:tRNA from 1 species